AUACUUGCCUGACAGGGGAGAUACCGUGAUCGUGAAGGUGGUUUUCCCAGGGUGAGACUUAUCCAUUGCUCUCCGGAUGUGCUGACCCCUGCGAUUUCUCCAAAUGUGGGAAACUUGGCUGCAUAACGUGGUAGUGGGGGAUUGCGUUCGUGCUCCCCCCUG
rnacentral:snRNA from 1 species